GAGCGCGGGAAGCGAGUGGAUCCCUUCGGGGUGAAGCUCGUGGAACGAGCGGCGGACGGGUGAGUAACACGUGGGCAACCUGCCUGUAAGACCGGAAUAACCCCGGGAAACCGGGGCUAAUGCCGGGUAAUACUUUUCUUCGCAUGAAGGAAAGUUGAAAGAUGGCUUCUUGCUAUCACUUACAGAUGGGCCCGCGGCGCAUUAGCUAGUUGGUGAGGUAACGGCUCACCAAGGCGACGAUGCGUAGCCGACCUGAGAGGGUGAUCGGCCACACUGGGACUGAGACACGGCCCAGACUCCUACGGGAGGCAGCAGUAGGGAAUCUUCCGCAAUGGACGAAAGUCUGACGGAGCAACGCCGCGUGAACGAUGAAGGUCUUCGGAUCGUAAAGUUCUGUUGUUAGGGAAGAACAAGUACCGUGCGAAUAGAGCGGUACCUUGACGGUACCUAACGAGGAAGCCCCGGCUAACUACGUGCCAGCAGCCGCGGUAAUACGUAGGGGGCAAGCGUUGUCCGGAAUUAUUGGGCGUAAAGCGCGCGCAGGCGGUUCCUUAAGUCUGAUGUGAAAGCCCACGGCUCAACCGUGGAGGGUCAUUGGAAACUGGGGAACUUGAGGACAGAAGAGGAGAGU
rnacentral:rRNA from 1 species